rnacentral:rRNA from 1 species
GAUGAACGCUGGCGGCGUGCCUAAUACAUGCAAGUCGAACGCUGGAGAUCUAGCUUGCUAGAUCGAGGGAGUGGCGAACGGGUGAGUAAUACAUAAGCAACCUACCCACGAAGACUGGGAUAAUCUCUGGAAACGGGGACUAAUACCGGAUAGGUAAUCGGAAGGCAUCUUCUGGUUAUUAAAGGUUAAAAACACUGGUGGAUGGGCUUAUGGCGCAUUAGUUAGUUGGUGAGGUAACGGCCCACCAAGACGAUGAUGCGUAGCCGGCCUGAGAGGGUGAACGGCCACAUUGGGACUGAGACACGGCCCAGACUCCUACGGGAGGCAGCAGUAGGGAAUUUUCGGCAAUGGGGGCAACCCUGACCGAGCAACGCCGCGUGAGUGAAGACGGCCUUCGGGUUGUAAAGCUCUGUUGUAAGGGAAGAACGGUAGAUAGAGAAUAUCUAAGUGACGGUACCUUACCAGAAAGCCACGGCUAACUACGUGCCAGCAGCCGCGGUAAUACGUAGGUGGCGAGCGUUAUCCGGAAUUAUUGGGCGUAAAGGGUGCGUAGGCGGCCUGUUAAGUAAGUGGUUAAAUUGUUGGGCUCAACCCAAUCCAGCCACUUAAACUGGCAGGCUAGAGUAUUGGAGAGGCAAGUGGAAUUCCAUGUGUAGCGGUAAAAUGCGUAGAUAUAUGGAGGAACACCAGUGGCGAAGGCGGCUUGCUAGCCAAAGACUGACGCUCAUGCACGAAAGCGUGGGGAGCAAAUAGG